rnacentral:lncRNA from 1 species
GCACAUUCAAAUUUUAAGGUAAGAGUGCCUUAAAAUUAAUUCCUCUAUGGCACAUGUAGUGCACAUAAAUCUUUCGAUUGUCGGGAAUAUUGCAACUUUGUUGAGGCCAAUAGAAUUAUCAAUAUUUUUUUCUAAUCGUCUUCAUACCAGACAUGUAAAGGAGGAAAAAUUAUUGUGUACGCAACAAUAUUGUGUAUGAAUGAUUCAUAUACUCAAUUCCUCACAACUAUCAUGUCCCGUGGACAAGAUGUUGCAAAUUAUACCACCUGUAGCAGUACAAUUACAGGAUAAUGAUAUCUUCGGAUAACUAGGAAACAACAUAAGAUCUCCAAAAUAUCUUGGGAAUGUCAUUUGACAAGCAUAUCAUCAAUGUAGAGGAGUGCAUUCUCCUUCUAAUGCACCAGAAUAUUUUCUGGUUGUCCAUUUGAAGUAGAACUUCAAACUUAUCCCAAUUAACUCAUUCGCCUUCUCGAAUGAGUCGGUGACAUGAUUCAACCAAAAACUUAAAAGUUUGGUAAUCAUUAAUACGAUAUUUCAUACAAUCACCCCUUUGACAAAUUUGGGAGUUUUCAUUGUGAUCGUUUAUUUAAAUGACCCAUUCUUUUGUGAGAUAUAUACUCCAUUUCUGCUUGUCAUCUUUUUAUCACUUUACAUUCAACUCCUCGUGGUUCUCUAGCCACAAAAUUGCUUAGUACUGAAAGCACUAGCACAAAUUUCAGGUAAUGAUAUAUCACCCAUUGGGGUGUACCAUAUGACUCUUCACAAGAAGGUCAUCAUAUUUUUACCCUCAAAUGAAGAUGGUGUUUCUUUUACCAUCAUAGGAGGAUGUAAAGUUCAGUAAGGACAUACAAUUAGAUCAAGAUCUGAGACUGCCUUAUCACAUAAUCUCAACUUAGUGUUGAUUUAUAGACAACAGAAUAAUAAGCGCCAACAUACUUCAAGUCCCGAACACAAAUGAAUACUCACUCAUGUGAUGCUUAUGACAAUAUAUCUCUCCCUAAGGUAGUCCCAAAGGGCAAAUGGAUAUUCAUCAUCCAUUAAAUACUCAGUCUGAGAACCGAGAC